UUACAUGAUUGUCAACAGGGAGGGAUGGUUAUGCAAGAGGGUGCAAGAGGUGGCAGAUCAUCUCUUGAAGCAUCUUGCAUGACCGUCUCUUCCUGCAGGUAGAGUUAUGUAA
rnacentral:pre_miRNA from 1 species